rnacentral:rRNA from 1 species
UACGGAGGGUGCGAGCGUUGUCCGGAAUCACUGGGCGUAAAGGGCGCGUAGGUGGCCCGUUAAGUGGCUGGUGAAAUCCCGCGGCUCAACUGCGGGGCUGCCGGUCAGACUGGCGAGCUAGAGCACGGUAGGGGCAGAUGGAAUUCCGGGUGUAGCGGUGGAAUGCGUAGAGAUCCGGAAGAACACCGGUGGCGAAGGCGGUCGACUGGGCCAGUACUGACGCUGAGGCGCGACAGCGUGGGGAGCAAACAGG